GGACGCUGGAGGGAGGGCGCGGGAUGGAGGGAUCGCGGGGGUCCCAGGACGGAGAGGUCGCGCCGGGCGCGCUCGGAACACGCAGGAAAUUCUCCCCGAGGCGUGGGCUCCGCGGGGCUUCCCCGCCGGUUCGCUGAGUCCCAGCUCCGCUCGGCCGGGACCUCCGUGGCAGGCUCGGGGAGCCCGCGGGGGGCAGAGGCGCCGACCUCCGCCUGGGACCGAGAGGAACCCGCGCCCUGCCCUGCCCCGCCCGGCGCGCGUGGGCCUGAGUCAGGCGCCUCAGCACGGGGACCCCCGGGCCGGCCUUCACGCCGCAGAGCCGCUGCAGGUGAGACUGUGGCCCACAGACACUGCUUGCAGCAGGCAGAGGAUGUGGGAGCCUCGUGGGAACCCCCCCGACUUGUCCACUGAAGUAACAGCAGCAAUGACCUUCCCUCGGGAAUUCCACCUCUGCGUUUUUCCCUCCAGGGUCAUUUUCCCAGCCUGGGCAACAUGGUGAAACCCAGUCUCUACAAAAAAAAAAAAACCAAAAAAAAAAAAAAAAAAAAUUGGCCUUUUCACAAGAUGGCGCUGAAAGCAAAGAAGGAAGCUCCUGCCUCUCCUGAAGCCGAAGCCAAAGCGAAGGCUUUAAAGGCCAAGAAGGCAGCGUUGAAAGGUGUCCACAGCCACAUAAAAAAGAAGACCCGCACGUCACUCACCUUCCAGCGGCCCAAGACACUGCGACGCCGGAGGCGGCCUGAAUAUCCUUGGAAGAGCACCCCCAGGAGAAACAAGCUUGGCCACUAUGCUGUCAUCAAGUUUCCGCUGACCACGGAGUCGGCCGUGAAGAGGACAGAAGAAAACAACACGCUUUUGUUCACUGUGGAUGUUAAAGCCAACAAGCACCAGAUCAAACAGGCUGUGAAGAAGCUCUAUGACGGUGAUGUGGCCGAGGUCACCACCCUGAUUCCGCCUGAUGGAGAGAAGAAGGCAUGUGUUCGACUGGCUCCUGAUUACGAUGCGUUGGAUGUUGCCAACAAAAUUGGGAUCAUCUAAACUGAGUCC
rnacentral:lncRNA from 1 species